rnacentral:rRNA from 1 species
UGGGGGAUAGUGAGGGGAUAAAUUUCCUUAAGGAACUCGGCAAAAUCCCAAUGGCCCACCAGGGCAUAUAUUGGAACACGGGCCUCGACUGUUUACCAAAAACAUAGCCCUCGGCCAAUAUGAAAAUAGAAGUAUGGAGGGUGAGGCCUGCCCAAUGGUUGUAUCUAAAAGCGGUUGAUAAAAGUCGACCGUGUAAGGACAAUUGAAUGGCCGCGGUAACACUGACCGUGAUAAUGUAGCGUAAUCAAUAGCCAAUUAAUUGUUGGCCAGUAUGAAUGGCGCCACGAAGGCCCCACUGUCUUAAGGAAAUUCCCAGUGAAAUUGAAUUCGUAGUGAAGAUGCUACGUCCAAUUUGUUAGACGAAAAGACCCCGUUGAGCUUUACUGGGGCACUUACACGGCCCCGGCCUUCAAAACUGGGUUGAUAAGCCAAGGCUUACCAUACCUAGGGACCGGCCGAAUUUAAAUGGGCGGCUUAGACUAUGUGGCAGCCCCCCCCGUCGGGGCAGAUGAAACCCCACUCCCCCAUGUCAAAGGGGCUAACCCCCCCCCUUGGGGGGGACAGUGUAAGUAGGACAGUUUGGUUGGGGCGACCGCCUUUUAGAGAGUAACGAAGGUGCGCUUAAGGUGCGUAAUUAAUGACUGAAGCCUGACUGCGAGGGGGACACCCCGAGCAGACACCCCCAAGCCCGCCCUCGCCUUCGUACCAACGGAGGGAGGGCGGCGGUGGGGUGGGCCAUAGUGACCCGUUAAUUUAGAGUGGAAUAGUUAACGAUCAACGAAUAAAAG